GAACGCUAGCUACAGGCUUAACACAUGCAAGUCGAGGGGCAGCAUGGUCUUAGCUUGCUAAGGCCGAUGGCGACCGGCGCACGGGUGAGUAACGCGUAUCCAACCUGCCUUACACUCUUGGACAGCCUUCUGAAAGGGAGAUUAAUACAAGAUGUUAUCAUGAGUAAGCAUUUUCGCAUGAUUAAAGGUUUACCGGUGUAAGAUGGGGAUGCGUUCCAUUAGAUAGUAGGCGGGGUAACGGCCCACCUAGUCUUCGAUGGAUAGGGGUUCUGAGAGGAAGGUCCCCCACAUUGGAACUGAGACACGGUCCAAACUCCUACGGGAGGCAGCAGUGAGGAAUAUUGGUCAAUGGACGAGAGUCUGAACCAGCCAAGUAGCGUGAAGGAUGAAGGUUCUAUGGAUUGUAAACUUCUUUUAUACGGGAAUAAACGAAUCCACGUGUGGAUUUUUGCAUGUACCGUAUGAAUAAGGAUCGGCUAACUCCGUGCCAGCAGCCGCGGUAAUACGGAGGAUCCGAGCGUUAUCCGGAUUUAUUGGGUUUAAAGGGAGCGUAGAUGGGUUGUUAAGUCAGUUGUGAAAGUUUGCGGCUCAACCGUAAAAUUGCAAUUGAUACUGGCAGUCUUGAGUACAGUUGAGGUAGGCGGAAUUCGUGGUGUAGCGGUGAAAUGCUUAGAUAUCACGAAGAACUCCGAUUGCGAAGGCAGCUUACUAACCUGUAACUGACAUUGAUGCUCGAAAGUGUGGGUAUCAAACAGGAUUAGAUACCCUGGUAGUCCACACGGUAAACGAUGAAUACUCGCUGUAGGCGAUAUACAGUCUGCGGCCAAGCGAAAGCAUUAAGUAUUCCACCCGGGGAGUACGCCGGCAACGGUGAAACUCAAAGGAAUUGACGGGGGCCCGCACAAGCGGAGGAACAUGUGGUUUAAUUCGAUGAUACGCGAGGAACCUUACCCGGGCUUAAAUUGCAACCGAAUAUGGCGGAAACGCUAUAGCUAGCAAUAGCGGUUGUGAAGGUGCUGCAUGGUUGUCGUCAGCUCGUGCCGUGAGGUGUCGGCUUAAGUGCCAUAACGAGCGCAACCCUUGCCGAUAGUUACUAACAGGUCAUGCUGAGGACUCUGUCGGGACUGCCAUCGUAAGAUGUGAGGAAGGUGGGGAUGACGUCAAAUCAGCACGGCCCUUACGUCCGGGGCUACACACGUGUUACAAUGGGGGGUACAGAGGGCUGCUACCACGCAAGUGGAUGCCAAUCCCAAAAACCUCUCUCAGUUCGGAUUGAAGUCUGCAACCCGACUUCAUGAAGCUGGAUUCGCUAGUAAUCGCGCAUCAGCCACGGCGCGGUGAAUACGUUCCCGGGCCUUGUACACACCGCCCGUCAAGCCAUGGGAGCCGGGGGUACCUGAAGUGCGUAACCGCAAGGAGCGCCCUAGGGUAAAACUGGUGACUG
rnacentral:rRNA from 1 species